UUUGAAUAACACACCAGUGAAGUCAUCUUGACCUGGACAGAAAUUGAAUCCUCCCAAGAAUCCCAGGAGCUUGGAAGGGGAUCCUUCCCCAGAUGAGCCUUCCCUUGAAAUCUCUGCCAGGCAUCUGACCUAGAGAAACUGCCACACCACUUUACAGAGGAACACCAGGGAUCUUCCAGGAACCAUGCCCACAAAGCUUACUAAGCCAUGGGACUGCAUACUACACUCCCAAGGACAUCCACAAAGUCAAGACUCUUGCUUUUUCAGACUGUGAUCAUGGGCUACAUUCUCCAUACCAUGUUCAUAGCUUCAGCGAGAAAACAAACUCCUGCAUCCUGGAGACCUACAGUGAGAGACACAGCUGACCUUGAACAUAUUUCUCACUUCUGAGAAGAUUAUAGCAGUAACUCAGGUGCUAUUAUUUGGGGCAUUUAUAAUUCAGUAAACCUUCUUACUCCUCUAGUCUUACAAUUCACCCCAUAGGAAAGGAUGGUUUCAUUUAAAUUGGCAAUCUUAAGUCAUGGAGGUUUGCUCUUUUUAUUUCAUUAUAACAGGAGUUUCUAUAAGGUAAGUGACUUGUACAAUCCCAUUUUCCUCUUCAUUUCAAUGCAUAUAUAUGGUCUAUUAUGAUGUGUACUGUUAAGAUCAUCCAUGACCAAAUUCUUCAGGAAAAAAAAAAUCACCAAGUGGCAGGCCAUGAGGGAGACAGAAGUAGAUGUGUAGAAGGACAGACUCAUCCGUAGGUGGCAAGAGGGUUGAGGAGCUCUGAGUGCUCAGGGUUAAGACUGGAAAAGUGAUUAGACAUGAAACUCUGCUACCAUAAUGUCCCAGGCACAGAGGACACAGUGCUGAGCACUAAGCUCCUAAACAUUACCAUGAGUCUGGAUUGGCUGAGUCUGGAUUGGCCACCAGAAUUCUCAGAAAGAUGCCAUUGAAAACACCCCAUCAUCCAACCACUUCCUUAGGCAAGAACCCAGUGCUGUCUCUGCCCUCUAGUCUGAAUACUGAAUCAAGUUUAAAGG
rnacentral:lncRNA from 1 species